rnacentral:piRNA from 1 species
UGGGAUUUGCCAUGGUGCCUCCUUGUACCU